UGCCUUCCGAACUACUCCAAGAUACACGAUGCGUCAAAGAUAGAGUAACUUAUAGUUUUUAGUAUGAACAUCAACUCUUCCGAAGCAAAUUACCCCAAGGGCUUCUCAAAUGCUGAUCGUAUUGCUUAUUCGACAAUGUGAGCUGUUAACGCAUUUUGAAACGGCGCAAUGCUGAAGGCACAUGGAGCAGAGUUAGAACAAGUUAAAGAAGAAAAAAUCUUAUAAUAAAGAAUAUUGAAGAAAAUGCAAAAUUAUGCACCGAAAUGUGAAGACUUCAAAUGUUGUCACAAAACUCGCCACAAA
rnacentral:lncRNA from 1 species